rnacentral:rRNA from 1 species
AACGAACGCUGGCGGCAGGCCUAACACAUGCAAGUCGAACGCCGUAGCAAUACGGAGUGGCAGACGGGUGAGUAACACGUGGGAACGUACCCUUCGGUUCGGGAUAACUCAGGGAAACUUGAGCUAAUACCGGAUACGUCCGAGAGGAGAAAGAUUUAUCGCCGAGGGAUCGGCCCGCGUCUGAUUAGCUUGUUGGUGAGGUAACGGCUCACCAAGGCGACGAUCAGUAGCUGGUCGAGAGGAUGAUCAGCCACAUUGGGACUGAGACACGGCCAAACUCCUACGGGAGGCAGCAGUGGGGAAUAUUGGACAAUGGGCGCAAGCCUGAUCCAGCCAUGCCGCGUGAGUGAUGAAGGCCCUAGGGUUGUAAAGCUC